UACGUAGGGUGCAAGCGUUGUCCGGAAUUAUUGGGCGUAAAGAGCUCGUAGGCGGUCUGUCGCGUCGGAUGUGAAAAUCCAGGGCUCAACCCUGGACCUGCAUUCGAUACGGGCAGACUAGAGUUCGGUAGGGGAGACUGGAAUUCCUGGUGUAGCGGUGAAAUGCGCAGAUAUCAGGAGGAACACCGGUGGCGAAGGCGGGUCUCUAGUACGGUACUGACGCUGAGACGCGAAAGCGUGGGGAGCGAACAGG
rnacentral:rRNA from 1 species